UGCCAGCCGCCGCGGUAAUACAGAGGGUGCAAACGUUGUUCGGAAUUACUGGGCGUAAAGAGCAUGUAGGCGGUUUUUUAAGUCGGUUGUGAAAGCCCCCGGCUCAACCGGGGAAUUGCAUUCGAUACUGGCGGACUCGAGGAUGGUUGGGGUGAGUGGAACUCCUGGUGGAGCGGUGAAAUGCGUAGAUAUCAGGAGGAACACCAGUGGCGAAAGCGGCUCACUGGACCAUUUCUGACGCUGAGGUGCGAAAGCUAGGGGAGCGAACGGGAUUAGAUA
rnacentral:rRNA from 1 species